rnacentral:tRNA from 1 species
UCAAGGGAAAGCAUUUAUGAUGUUUUUCGUUUACGUUGAAAAGAAGAGAAGAUUUUUUCCUCCCUUG